rnacentral:lncRNA from 1 species
CGUCUGCCAUAGAUAUUUGCCAAAAAGUGAUCUAACUUGGAUAAGCUUGAUGCUUUGUACAAGUUUCAGAGCCCCCGUAGAGAAAGCUCUUAGGAACCAGAGACCAUCGUGUGCCUGUGUCCCAGGACUUUCAGUCCAUCAACACACGUCACUGUAGCAUUUUGGAAUGUUCUGGUUCAGUUGCUCUCAGAUGUUAGCUACUUCAAAACAGAAACUUCUCCACUAAGGAGCCCUGUCCAUAGCUGAUGUGAGAGAGAAAACAAAGCUGGGCCACAUUGCUUUCUGCCUUCUUCUUUUAUGUAACCAGGAGGGAGCAUAUCCCUAGAAUUUUUUUUUUUUUUUCUAAAGGCGGAGUGUUGCUCUGUCGCCCAGUCUGGAGUACAGUGGCGCAAUCUCAACUCACUGCAACCUAUGCCUCCCAAGUUCAAGCAAUUCUCCUACCUCAGCCUCCUGAGUAGCUGGGAUUAUAGGUGCCUGCCAUCAUGCCCUGCUAAUUUUUGUAUUUUUAGUAGAGAUGGAGUUUCGCCAUGUUGGCCAGGCUGGUCUUGAACUCCAGACCUCAAGUGAUCCACCCACCUCGGCCUCCCAAAGUGCUGGGAUUACGGGCAUGAGCCACCGCGCCUGGCCAUUUAACAGCUUAAGGUUGGGUCUCAAGUCCUAUUUCUUACCUCAAGGAAAUGUACGAUGUUUAUAUUUAUUUCUUUCAUUUAGGCAUGCUAAAUUCUGUAUAUUGACAGCAGACUUAACUUGAAUGCAGAAAGGAGAAUUCAGCAGCACUCAAAAUGAAUUUACAGUGUGACAGUGUAUGAUUCAUUCUAAAAUGCUUACCAUUGACUAAAAGCUUUACUCCUAUGUACCUUGAUAGAGCAGAGAUAGUAUGGUAGAGUAGAAAGAUCAAUCAUUAACCAAGGAAAUCUGUUCUGUGUGCCUUGGACACUCAAUACAAGGGCCUUGGAAGCUACUUACUUUGAAUAUCGCUUUAGUCAGGAAAUUGAGGAGUUUUUGGAAUCGAUCUUUUUAAGUUUCUUUUUGGCCUUGAGAUUUUAUGUUUUUAUGUUUCUAUUUAUUUCUGCCUAAGUAAAUGACCCCUUUUUCUUUCUUACCACCAUCCAUCCCCAUUACAAAUUACAUGCCUUUUUGUAAAAGAUCUUAACCUCAAAAGGAGAGGAAAUGCAAUCAGCAAACUCACAAAUUUUCUUUCAGUCUUAAUUUUCUUUUGCCUUUUUUUUUUUUUUUUUUGUGAGGCAGGGUCUCACUCUGUUGCCCAGGCUGGAAUGCAGUGGUGUGAUCAUGGCUUACUGCAGCCUCAACCUCCCAUGCUCAAGUGAUUCUCCCAGUUCAGCCUCCCAAGUAACUGGGACCAAAGGCAGGCACCACCACACUCUGCUAAUUUUAAAAAAAAAUUUUUGUAAGGGGGAGAGUCUCUCUAUGCUGCUGGGGCUGUUCUUGAACUCCUAGGCUCAAGUGAUCCUCCCUCUUGGCUUCCCAAAUUGCUGGGAUUACAGCCAUUGAACCACCACGCCCAGCCUUAAUUUUCACUGGGAAAGAUUAUUGAACCAUGCUGUAUGCUGUGUUCAUUAGCAAUCUUGCCAUAUCAAAUUUUUGCUACCUGGGUUGAAACAGGGAAUUUGCAUGUCUUUCUAAAAUGCAUGUGUUUUUGUCUGCAGAUGUCAAAUAGCCAAGGCACAGCUGAAUAAGACAUGGAAAUGUAGCUUGUUACAAGUAUAGUGUGUGGAGGAAUUUCUAAUCUCUUUCUGUCCAAUCAGCUAUGCAGUAAGAGCUCAGUUUUCAUCCUCUAGCCCUGAAUAGAAUGGGGGAAUCAUCAGCAAUCUA